rnacentral:misc_RNA from 1 species
GAAAUGCGAUAAGUAGUGUGAAUUGCAGAAUUCAGUGAAUCAUCGAAUCUUUGAACGCACAUUGCGCCCCUUGGUAUUCCAUGGGGCAUGCCUGUUCGAGCGUCAUUUGUACCUUCAAGCUCUGCUUGGUGUUGGGUGUUUGUCCCGUCUCCGCGCGUGGACUCGCCCCAAAGUGAUUGGCAGCCGGCGUACUGGUCCCGGAGCGCAGCACAUGUCGCGCAAACGAGUGCCUUGGUACGGCGGCGUCCAUAAGCCCCUCUCUCACGCUCUUGACCUCGGAUCAGGUAGGGAUACCCGCUGAACUUAAGC